UACCAGCACCCCGAGUGGUCGGGACGAUUAUUGGGCCUAAAGCAUCCGUAGCCGGUUUUACAAGUCCUCCGUUAAAUCCAGCUGCUUAACAGAUGGGCUGCGGAGGAUACUAUAAGACUAGGAGGCGGGAGAGGCAAGCGGUACUCAGUGGGUAGGGGUAAAAUCCGUUGAUCCAUUGAAGACCACCAGUGGCGAAGGCGGCUUGCCAGAACGCACUCGACGGUGAGGGAUGAAAGCUGGGGGAGCAAACCGG
rnacentral:rRNA from 1 species